UACAGAGGGGGCAAGCGUUGUUCGGAAUUACUGGGCGUAAAGGGCGCGUAGGCGGCCGGCUAAGUCGAACGUGAAAUCCCCGGGCUCAACCCGGGAACUGCGUCCGAUACUGGUCGGCUUGAAUUCGGGAGAGGGAUGCGGAAUUCCAGGUGUAGCGGUGAAAUGCGUAGAUAUCCGGAGGAACACCGGUGGCGAAGGCGGCUUCCUGGACCGACACUGACGCUGAGGCGCGAAAGCCAGGGGAGCAAACGGG
rnacentral:rRNA from 1 species